GAACCGUCCUAACGUUGUUCGGAUUCACUGGGCUUAAAGGGCGCGUAGGCGGGUGAGCAAGUCCGGGGUGAAAUCUUUCGGCUUAACCGGAAAACUGCCUUGGAUACUGCUUGUCUAGAGGGAGGUAGGGGUCUGUGGAACUUCCGGUGGAGCGGUGAAAUGCGUUGAUAUCGGAAGGAACGCCGGUGGCGAAAGCGACGGACUGGACCUCUUCUGACGCUGAGGCGCGAAAGCUAGGGUAGCGAACGGGAUUAGAUACCCCGGUAGUCCUAGCCCUAAACGAUGGGUACUAGGUAGUGGACUUAACAUGGGUUCACUGCCGAAGCAAAAGUGGUAAGUACCCCGCCUGGGGAGUAUGGUCGCAAGGCUGAA
rnacentral:rRNA from 1 species